GCUGCCCUCCGGCUCUGCGCCGCGACCCCUGCGGCUGCGGGAGGCUGCGGUAUUCCACCCCAGGCAAGGGGUGCAAACCGGGAUGCAUUUGGGGACUAGGAGCCCUUACGCCUCCUUGUGUUCGCCCCUCACUUGCCCCCAAGUUCACCCCCAGGAAUUAACUACACCCCAGUUUAUGGAGCUCCCCAGUGGGUUCACAUUUCCCUGCUCACUUUAUUUCCAUUGGCCCUGGAAGAUGUGCCACAGGGAGUUCAGGGAUCAGCCGCAUGGACUCCCUGUUCCUGUUCCCCAUCUGUCUUCUCCCCCUCCCUGGGAAACAGGUGUGUCUGAGCCUGGGCUGGAAGCAGACCCUGAGUGCUGGAUGAAGGGCCUUGGAGUUAUUGAAGUUGAAGGCGAAAAUAGAACUCCAUGAGGUGGCAGGCAUUGGUCUGAGCAAGAGAGAGAGUUCAAGCCUGCUUUUAC